rnacentral:rRNA from 1 species
AUACGUAGGUGGCAAGCGUUGUCCGGAUUUACUGGGCGUAAAGGGAGCGUAGGUGGAUAUUUAAGUGGGAUGUGAAAUACUCGGGCUUAACUUGAGUGCUGCAUUCCAAACUGGAUAUCUAGAGUGCAGGAGAGGAAAGUAGAAUUCCUAGUGUAGCGGUGAAAUGCGUAGAGAUUAGGAAGAAUACCAGUGGCGAAGGCGACUUUCUGGACUGUAACUGACACUGAGGCUCGAAAGCGUGGGGAGCAAACAGGAUUAGAUCCCCUGGUAGUCCACGCCGUAAGCGAUGAGUACUAGGUGUGGGGGUUGUCAUGACCUCCGUGCCGCCGCUAACGCGUUAAGUAUUCCACCUGGGGAGUACGCCGGCAACGGUGA